rnacentral:tRNA from 1 species
GCCUGGGUGGCUCAGUCAGGUGAGCGUCCGACUUCGGCUCAGGUCAUGAUCUCACAGUUUGUGGGUUCAAGCCCCGCAUCAGGCU